GCAGAGUAGCCUUCGGCGCGUUAAGUGUUGCGAAACGGGACGUUGUUCGCAAACGAAAGGAGUUUUUUCCUGCGGUGCCGUGGCGCGUCCGUUG
rnacentral:ncRNA from 2 species